GGCGAACGCUGGCGGUGUGCUUAACACAUGCAAGUCGAACGGCAAGGCCCUGCGUUUGUGGUGUGCUCGAGUGCCGAACGGGUGCGUAACACGUGUGCAACGUGCCCUUGUCUUUGGGAUAACUUAAGGAAACUGAGGCUAAUACCGGAUCGGAGCUCCUCCUGCAUUGUGGGGGUUGGAAAGUUUCGGCGGUUGGGGUUGGAUUCGCGGCUUAUGGGCUUGCUAGUGGGGGAGUGGAUUACCAAGGCUUUGACGGGUAGCCAGCCUGAGAGGGUGACCGGCCACAUUGGGACUGAGAUACGGCCCAGACUCCUACGGGAGGCAGCAGGGGCGAAUAUUGCACAAUGGGCGGAAGCCUGAUGCAGCAACGCCGCGGGCGGGAUGACGGCCUUCGGGUUGUAAACCGCUGUCGCCUGUGACGAAGCGGGAGUGACGGUAAUGGGUAAAGAAGCACCGGCUAACUACGUG
rnacentral:rRNA from 1 species